CUSGCGGCGUGCCUAAUACAUGCAAGUCGAGCGGACCGACGGGAGCUUGCUCCCUUAGGUCAGCGGCGGACGGGUGAGUAACACGUGGGUAACCUGCCUGUAAGACUGGGAUAACUCCGGGAAACCGGGGCUAAUACCGGAUGCUUGAUUGAACCGCAUGGUUCAAUCAUAAAAGGUGGCUUUUAGCUACCACUURCAGAUGGACCCGCGGCGCAUUAGCUAGUUGGUGAGGUAACGGCUCACCAAGGCGACGAUGCGUAGCCGACCUGAGAGGGUGAUCGGCCACACUGGGACUGAGACACGGCCCAGACUCCUACGGGAGGCAGCAGUAGGGAAUCUUCCGCAAUGGACGAAAGUCUGACGGAGCAACGCCGCGUGAGUGAUGAAGGUUUUCGGAUCGUAAAACUCUGUUGUUAGGGAAGAACAAGUACCGUUCGAAUAGGGCGGYACCUUGACGGUACCUAACCAGAAAGCC
rnacentral:rRNA from 1 species